CGAUAGUGAUCCUGAUUAGUACGAGAGGAACAGCAAGUUCAGACAUUUGGUUCAUGGACUUAAGCGCUCGAUGAAUGGUCCAAAGCUAACAUCUAGGAGAUCGCGACUGAACGUCUCUAUGUCGGAUUGCUAGCGGGUCAAG
rnacentral:ncRNA from 1 species